GGAAGGUUGGCCGAGUGGUAAGGCAACGCCCUGCUAAGGCGUGACGCUCCAUGCGUUGGUGGGUUCGAUUCCCACACCUUCCG
rnacentral:tRNA from 1 species